rnacentral:rRNA from 1 species
UCGGGAAUUUUGGGCAAUGGGCGAAAGCCUGACCCAGCAACGCCGCGUGAGGGAUGAAGUAUUUCGGUAUGUAAACCUCGAAAGAAUGGGAAGAAUAAAUGACGGUACCAUUUAUAAGCUCCGGCUAACUACGUGCCAGCAGCCGCGGUAAUACGUAGGGAGCAAGCGUUGUUCGGAUUUACUGGGCGUAAAGGGCGCGUAGGCGGCGCGGUAAGUCACUUGUGAAAUCUCUGAGCUUAACUCAGGACGGCCAAGUGAUACUGCUGUGCUAGAGUGCGGAAGAGGCAACCGGAAUUCUUGGUGUAGCGGUGAAAUGCGUAGAUAUCAAGAGGAACACCUGAGGCGAAGGCGGGUUGCUGGGCCGACACUGACGCUGAUGCGCGAAAGCCAGGGGAGCAAAC